UAACUAUAGAAGAUUCUAUGUUAAAACUAGUAACAAGAAGAAGAACUUCUCCUUUAAUGCAWGUAUAAAUCAGAUAGGACACCCCACUGAUAAUUAACGCCCAUGAACAAAAAUAGCAACAAAACAAGAAAACCCUACUGAAUCAUGCGUUAACCUAACACUAGAGCAUUUCAAGAAAGAUUAAAAGAAAAAGAAGGAACUCGGCAAAUAUUAACCUCGCCUGUUUACCAAAAACAUCGCCUCUUGAAUAAAUAUAAGAGGUCCAGCCUGCCCAGUGACCAUGUUCAACGGCCGCGGUAUCCUAACCGUGCGAAGGUAGCGUAAUCACUUGUUCUUUAAAUAAGGACUAGUAUGAAUGGCACCACGAAGGUUAUACUGUCUCCUCUUUCUAAUCAGUGAAACUAAUCUCCCCGUGAAGAAGCGAGGAUAAUAAUAUAAGACGAGAAGACCCUAUGGAGCUUCAAACUACAAGGCACUUGCUCAACAUAGCUAAAUUUCAGAAGACCUCUCCCACCCAAGCAAGAUGACCUUUAGUUUUAGGUUGGGGUGACCGCGGAGAAAAAAAUAACCUCCACAUUGAAAGGAACCCAAUCCUUAGCCAAGAGCCACACCUCUACGCACCAACAAAAAGACAUUAAUUGACCCAAUAUUUUGAUCAACGAACCAAGUUACCCUAGGGAUAACAGCGCAAUCCACUUCAAGAGCCCCUAUCGACAAGUGGGUUUACGACCUCGAUGUUGGAUCAGGGUAUCCCGGUGGUGCAGCCGCUACCAAAG
rnacentral:rRNA from 1 species